CCCACUCCUGUCUUCUUGCCUGGAAAAUUCCAUGGACAGAGGGGCUUGGAGGGCUACCGUCCAUGGAGUUGCAAAGAGUCGGACAUGAAUGAGCAUGCAUGCAGGCAGGCAGGCAUCCAGCGGGUAUGGGACUUGAUUAUUUUGCAGUUGCAGCCUUGAUUCUGUCUUCUUGUGGCUUCUUCUUUGUCUUUGAAUGUGGAUUUCCUUUUUUUUUUUUGCUAGGUUCCAGUCAUUUUUGUCUAUGGUUAUUCAGCAAUUAGUUUUGAUUCUGAUGUUUUUGUGAGAGGAGGUGACACCAAGGUCCUUGUCCUCUGCCAUCUUACUUCCAUACCUUCCUUAACAAUUUUUGAUUAUGCUGUAAUGCACAUAAAUCAAAUGAACCAUGUUAACCCUUUUAAGUGCACAACCCUCCUGUGUUAAGUAGACUCACAUUGUUGUGGAUCAUUACUUCUUGAGUGUUGUUUUUUUUUUUUUUUCAUGUCUGUUUAAAGUUAAAAGAUGCCAGUGCUGAACUUGAGAAUUUGGACCUGAGAGCCUUGAGGAAUAAAAACUGCCAACUUGUAGAAGAUAGAAAGAAUCUAAAAGACAUCUGUGAUACACUGAGGUCUGUGAAAGCAGAGAAGGAAGUGGAAUUAAAAAUGCUGAAGAGAAAGGAAGCCUUCCUUGUUGAAUUCUAUGAACAAAGAAAAAUGGCUGCAGAAGAGUAAGAUGUUCAUAUGUUCCAAAUACUGUUGUAUAAAUGAAUGUGUCAACUGAUGUAGAUAAUCAUAUUUCUUUUAGAAUAGGUUCCAGGGUAUUUUUGCCAAAUUCAUCCAACACAUUCAUCCUACCUUGAUUUCCAUAAUCCACAUUUUUCUUUCUGUUCUAAGUGAUCGUCACACAUUCUUUCUUAUAGUUUUUUUGGGUAGUAGAGGCAUUGUCCCAGUAUCAAUUAAAUUAAUACCUGGAUCCCCUCUGGUUCCAUUUACACUGUUCUUUAAGUUUCAGUCCCAGCACAUUGUCUGGUUCUCCCAACCCUCUGUCAAAUCACACUUUAUUCUGCACUCAAUAGCUUACCAUACAACCACUACAUGACAGCCAGUCUAAAGCAUUUGCUUAAAGAUUGCCUGGGAGGCCAGACAAAAAUACAGGUACAUUUUUCUCCUUAGUGUUUUUAUCCUUGUUUCUAGAAUUUUUGAAUUUUGCAUAUGAUCCCAUAGAAAAAUAUCAGAUUGAAACCAUUUGAACUGGAACCAUGAACAAAAUAAUCUGAUAAAAAACAGCAAUGGCUUUGUUAAGCCAUUGACCUUUACUGUUCUCAAUAUCAAUGACUCAGUCUUAUGAAAGUAGGUUAAUACCCUGGAGCUGUUAGUUUUCCAUCUGAAAUCUGUCUCCUAGAGAUUACACCCUGACUGUGUGAUGGUGCACAUCAUUUUAACACAGCACUAAGAUUUGCUUUUCCUUCUUGGAUCUUUUUUUUGGGGGGAGGAUUUUUUUUUUUUUCCCUUAGAAAAAGAGGUAGGGAUUCCACUCCUGAACCAUAGAAAUUCUGGAUAGUUAUUGGAGAGUGUUAAUGAAGCCAUAUCAUGGAAGACUCUCUUUGGCUGAUUGUCUGCAUCAAUACACAGCCUGGAUGAAGAAUCAGGGCUCCCCAUGGAGGCAUAAAACUAAUUAUGAUCCCCUGCUUCAUCAUAAUGUGUUUACUUGGGAUGAGUUGGUCAGGCAUCAUUUUCCACAUUGACGCGAAUUGAGUCUUUACCAUCUCAAAUGCAAGACUGACCCUGGGCAGGCACCAAGUAGGUUUUUUAUAAGACUUUAUGAUGAAUGAAUAGGAGUAAAGAACUGUAAAGAGAAACUUAGACUGCAGAGAGACUUGCUAGCAGGUCAGAGUUUGGUUUUACUUUAAUCCUCGAUGGGGGACUUCAGUUCAUUCAUCGGAUUAUGUUGUCAGUCUACACACAGAUGGGGUGGUGGUGAGGAACAUUUGAAGCUAGACCUUCAGAAUUCUGGGAGAUAAGGAAGUCCGAAUUUCACACUGGCUACUGGACAAUGUAUAUAUCUUUUUCCAUCUUAGGAAACUGAAAAAAAAAAAACAAUGCGAGUGGGUGGAAAAGGAGAAUCAGCUGUCAGCUGCAGAGGGAAAUUUGAAAUUAGUUUCAGCAGAAGCACACAAUUACAAGUAAGGUUAAAUACUAAAUACUAAAUACCAGUGGUUCAUGACAUUACUUUUGAGUUUUUGAUUUUAACUUUUGUACAAUGUUUGUACAAUUAGCCCAAAGGUUCAGAAGAAAUAUACAUAGAGAAUGUAUGGGGAAAAGAUAAGUAUUACAAAGAACAAACCAUUUAAGUCACUAAAAAUAUACUGAUCCCCAAAGCUGGCCAGACUGUAUGGAGACUUAGUUGAAGUUACUUGAGAAUGAACCUUGUUUUAGGAAGAACUGCAUCCACUAAUACAGUAGUGCCACUAAUGGACCUAGUUUUGGCAACCCUGGAAAUUAUGGUAAGAAUAUAAGUAAAAAGAGAAUAAAAGCUUUAUGAUCAGUCACUCAUCACACAAUAAUGAGAGAAAUUUUGGAAAUGUAUGGGAAUUAUAUCAACUCAGAAGCCUGUAGGCAUUAUCUAAAAUAAUAAAUAAGCAAAGGAUGUUAAUGGUAGGUUUGUUCUUACUGUCACUUUCUAAUCAUGUGAAAAGUGCUUUAUAUGUAUUCCUAAAUUAUAUUUGGAGAUAGAGAUGAGGAUAACAGGAACUUGGGCAAGUAUUAAAAUCUGCUCAGUGUUAAGCUUUAUGUGAUGAAAGCAAUUGUAUCAUAACUCACAGGCAACAGAUUGAACAAAUGCAAGAAGAACUGCAGCAGGAGGAGGAUCAGCUUCAGACACCAGGUGACCUACCUCCACCCAAGUUACUGAGCACCUCAGGCUGCUGAAGAGGGGUCCUUAGAUUCCCAAUCCUGGGCGGGGGUUAUUGAUGUGUUGCCUUUUUCAGAUUUCUCUUCUUGAGAAGAAGGCUCAGGACAACUGGGUAAGUGUUUUUUUUUCUUUCUCUCUUUCAUGUUGUCAUUGCCACAAAUGAACUUGGGUGUGCUUUUGCUCCCACAGAUCAAGGGUCGGAUUUUGGAGAGAGAGAUGGCAGAGCAGAGCAGGGAAGCCGCCUACUUGAGACACAAAUUGGUAAUAAUUGAAAAAAGGGGCUGCAAGAGAAACACGGGAUGCCGAAACUGGUGCUGGGAAGACCUGAGACACAGAAACUCCCAGGGAGAGAUACAGGACCUGGCAUGGCUCCCAUGAGAAAGAGCAAUCUUUCCCUACUAAGGAUGUACAAAAGGGCCAGGUCAGUAUGGAUGCAAGAGGGCGCUUUCCUUUCCCAUGACCACCCUGCUGCAUGCCCUACCCCAUGGGCUGCCCUUUAUCACCACUCAAGGGCUGUGGGCCUCUUCCACCUCCUCCACCCUGGCUUCCUCUGGGACCCCACCCAAUGCCUCCAUAUCUUUAAGAUGGAGAACCAGUUUAAAUUUGAAGAGGAUUUUGAGCCAUGACAAGCAGACUGUGGUAAUUGUAUAUUUAAAGAAGGUGUCAGGUCUACAUUCUGGCCCGAAUGUUUCCCUGCCCCUUCCGCUACUGUCUCUCCCAUUGUCAGCCCUAAUAAACCUUCCACAGUUCUAUCUCUGUGUCAGUGUGUGCUUCCUGGAGGACCAAGAGUCACACCCAUUGUGUACACGGGGUGUGGUUCAUUGACACCCAGGUCACAA